rnacentral:tRNA from 1 species
GGUCCUUUAGCUCAGACGAACAGAGCGACGGUUUCCUAAACCGCAGGUCCCGGGUUUGAGUCCCGGAAGGGCUACUA